rnacentral:lncRNA from 1 species
GGAGAUCACUGACGACGACGACGGCGACGCCAUUAAUCCUAGCUAAUUAACUACUCUAGCUACCUAAUUAGUGCCGUCGAGCUACGACAGAUCGAGUAGCUCGUGGACUUCGAUGCGCUGCAGCCAUUGAUCGAUGCAUCUCGCUUCUUCCGCUGCUUGCUUUGGAUGCGGACAUAGACAGAUAGAUAUAUAGCGAUGGAUUGCUCAGGAGAAACCAAAGAUGAGACGACGACGACUGCGACCGUCAAUUAAUUACCAGAUGAGCAUGCAAAGCUAAUUAAUUAGUUGAUCAGGAAGCUAGGCACUAAGUGAAGUAGUUAACACUACACACUCAUCAUGACAGGAUGAAAUGCUGACGAUCAAAGUGAUCGUGAAAGAAGGGAACAAACAUAACAGUUCGGUGCUGCAAGUCGAUCCAACAUGUGCAUAUAUAUGCCUUGCUAGGAUGUUUUAAAUGUAAGCUUAGUUAGUUUUUGUAUUGAGAUGG